GUCAGAACGGUUAAAUAUUAAAAAUGGCGCCCAUAGAAGCGUUGCACGAAUUAAAAGGCUGUGUUCUCCAAAACCAGUUAGCGUUUCAACAAAUUGACAGAUUCUGUGUGGUGGAUGAGGGAAGAUGGAGGCAUGCUAGCAACACUUUUUCAGCAUCUAUGGACUGGAGGUGUGUGCCGGGCUGCCUUCAGUAGAACCGUAAGACUGCGGGGUCAGAGACCCGUUUGAAGCCUCCACUGACGAUUUUGGAUUCAGCACUCUUGGAAGCGGAGCGAGCCAGUACCAAGCGAAUGGUGUAAAGCAGCAAGCCAGGCAGCCGCAAUAGAUCCAUGGCCGAGCCCACCAGGCCCGCCGCGAUCACGUAAUUUACGAAAAAGGCCCCUUGGUCCGGUAGGAACACACACCUUGGUGCACAGAUGGCAAAGUUAGAAAAAUUUUCAAAUUGAAUUAUAUAUACACUGAACAAAAGUAUAAACGCAACACUUGUUUUUGCUCCUAUUUUUUAUGAGCUGAACUCAAAGAUCUAAAAUGUUUACUAUAUCCACAAAGAACUUAUUCCUCUCAAAUAUUGCUCACAAAUCUGUCUAAAUCGGUGUUAGUGAGCACUUCUUCUUUGCCAAGAUAAUCCAUCCCACCUCACAGGUGUGGCAUAUCAAGAUGCUGAUUAAACAGCAUGGUUAUUGCACAGGUGUGCCUUAGGCUGCCCACAGUAAAAGGACACUCUGAAAUGUGCAGUUUUGUUUUAUUUGGGGUCUGGAGGGGUCAGAAAAGCAGUCAGUAUCUGGUGUGAUCACUAUUUGACUCACGCAGUGCAACACAUCUCCUUUGCAUAGAGUGGAUCAGGUUGUUGAUUGUGGCCUGUGGAAUGUUGGUCCACUCUUCAAUGGCUGUGCGAAGUUGCUGGAUAUUGGCAGAAACUGGAACACGCUGUCAUAUAUACGCUGAAUCCACAGCAUCCCAAACAUGCUCAAUGGGUGACAUGUCCGUUAAGUAUGCUAGCCAUGCAAGAAAUGGGUUGUUUUCAGCUUCCGGGAAUUGUGUACAGAUCCUUGCAACAUGGGACCGUGCAUUGUAAUGCUGCAACAUAAGAUGAUGGUCUCGGGUGAAUGGCACAACAAUGGACCUCAGAAUCUUGUUGCGUUAUCUCUGUGCAUUCACAAUGCCAUCGAUAAAAUGCACUUGCGUUCGUUGUCCAUAACAUACGUCUGCCCAUACCAUAACCCCACCCUCACCAUAACCCCACCAUGGGCCUACACGGUCUAGCUCCGUCCUAUCUUGUCGAUUGCAUUGUACCAUAUGUCCCGGCAAGAAAUCUGCGUUCAAAGAACUCCGGCUUAUUAGUGAUUCCCAGAGCCCAAAAAAAGUCUGCGGGCUAUAGAGCGUUUUCUAUUCGGGCUCCAGUACUAUGGAAUGCCCUCCCGGUAACAAUUAGAGAUGCUACCUCAGUAGAAGCAUUUAAGUCCCAUCUUAAAACUCAUUUGUAUACUCUAGCCUUUAAAUAGCCCCCCUGUUAGACCAGUUGAUCUGCCGUUUCUUUUCUUUUCUCCU